CAGUGAUCCCAAGAUUAAAAUUUCUAGCAAAUUUACAAAGUGAGGAGUUCCUGGGUCCAGAUGAUGACUUUCCUACAAGGGAUGACCUCUGAAGAAAUUUCUUAGAGGAGAAACUCCCUCUGCCAGGAGAAUAAGCCUAAGCUAUGUCUGGGCUUGUGACUUGUUAGAGAAUAGUGAGUGACUUUUAGUGAAUUUCUCAUCAGUAAAGAGUUGAGGGCUCUAUCUACUAUACACCAGCUACCACAAAUCAUGUCCGACCCAUCUUGAGCUUACCAUCGCUAGAAAUGCACAGAAAGUGGUCCCAUGAAGAUCUCGUUGUCCAUAGUGUUUGGCAGGUAAUAAGCACUUUGUAAAUUCUUGUGGUGCAACCAGAUGACACAGUGGAUGGAACAACAAGCCUUGGAUGAAGAAGAUCUGAGUUCAAAUCCUCUCACAUGCAACUAGGCAAGUGACUUAAUUUCUCUCA
rnacentral:lncRNA from 1 species